rnacentral:rRNA from 1 species
AGUGAACGCUGGCGGUAGGCCUAACACAUGCAAGUCGAACGGCAGCACAGUAAGAGCUUGCUCUUACGGGUGGCGAGUGGCGGACGGGUGAGGAAUACAUCGGAAUCUACUUUUUCGUGGGGGAUAACGUAGGGAAACUUACGCUAAUACCGCAUACGACCUACGGGUGAAAGCAGGGGAUCUUUGGACCUUGCGCGAUUGAAUGAGCCGAUGUCGGAUUUGCUAGUUGGCGGGGUAAAGGCCCACCAAGGCGACGAUCCGUAGCUGGUCUGAGAGGAUGAUCAGCCACACUGGAACUGAGACACGGUCCAGACUCCUACGGGAGGCAGCAGUGGGGAAUAUUGGACAAUGGGCGCAAGCCUGAUCCAGCCAUACCGCGUGGGUGAAGAAGGCCUUCGGGUUGUAAAGCCCUUUUGUUGGGAAAGAAAAGCAGCAGGUUAAUACCCCGCUGUUCUGACGGUACCCAAAGAAUAAGCACCGGCUAACUUCGUG